rnacentral:rRNA from 1 species
AUUGAACGCUGGCGGCAUGCCUUACACAUGCAAGUCGAACGGCAGCGCGGACUUCGGUCUGGCGGCGAGUGGCGAACGGGUGAGUAAUGUAUCGGAACGUACCAUUCAGUGGGGAUAACGCAGCGAAAGUUGCGCUAAUACCGCAUAUUCUGUGCGCAGGAAAGCAGGGAUCGCAAGACCUUGCGCUGAUUGAGCGGCCGAUAUCAGAUUAGCUAGUUGGUGAGGUAAAGGCUCACCAAGGCGACGAUCUGUAGCGGGUCUGAGAGGAUGAUCGCCACACUGGAACUGAGACACGGUCCAGACUCCUACGGAGGCAGCAGUGGGGAAUUUUGGACAAUGGGCGCAAGCCUGAUCCAGCCAUGCCGCGUGAGUGAAGAAGGCCUCGG